rnacentral:rRNA from 1 species
GGUCCGCCUGCCCUGUGACUAUUAGUUUAACGGCCGCGGUAUUUUGACCGCGCGAAGGUAGCGCAAUCACUUGUCUCUUAAAUGGAGACCUGUAUGAAUGGCACAACGAGGGCUUAGCUGUCUCCUCCCCUAAGUUAAUGAAAUUGAUCUUCCCGUGCAGAAGCGGGGAUAAAUACAUAAGACGAGAAGACCCUAUGAAGCUUUAGACGUAAGGUAGCCCCUACUACAACACCCCCUGUUAAGGGAAUAAACCAAUAAGCCCCUGCCCCCAUGUCUUUGGUUGGGGCGACCGCGGGGAAAGAGAAAACCCCCACGUGGAACGGGAGUACAACUCCUUAAGCUCAGAGCCUCAGCUCUAAGAAACAAAAUUUUUGACCUAAAGAUCCGGCAUUGCCGAUCAACGAACCGAGUUACUCUAGGGAUAACAGCGCAAUCCCCUUUUAGAGACCAUAUCAACAAGGGGGUUUACGACCUCGAUGUUGGAUCAGGACAUCCUAUUGGUGCAGCAGCUAUUAAGGGUUCGUUUGUUCAACGAUUAAA